rnacentral:rRNA from 1 species
GCUUACUGCAUUUUUUCUUACACAUGUGUUUUUCUUUUUUUGAAAACUUUGCUUUGGUAGGCCUUCUAUAUGGGGCCUGCCAGAGAUUAAACUCAACCAAAUUUUAUUUAAUGUCAACCGAUUAUUUAAUAGUCAAAACUUUCAACAACGGAUCUCUUGGUUCUCGCAUCGAUGAAGAACGCAGCGAAAUGCGAUAAGUAAUAUGAAUUGCAGAUAUUCGUGAAUCAUCGAAUCUUUGAACGCACAUUGCGCCCUUUGGUAUUCCAAAGGGCAUGCCUGUUUGAGCGUCAUUUCUCCCUCAAACCCUCGGGUUUGGUGUUGAGCGAUACGCUGGGUUUGCUUGAAAGAAAGGCGGAGUAUAAACUAAUGGAUAGGUUUUUUCCACUCAUUGGUACAAACUCCAAAACUUCUUCCAAAUUCGACCUCAAAUCAGGUAGGACUACCCGCUGAACUUAAGCAUAUCAAUAAGCGGAGGGAAAAGAAACCCGUGUC